rnacentral:rRNA from 1 species
AAAAGAAAUAGCUCAAUAAAAAAUUACAAAAACUUUUUUUCAAAAAAAAAAUAAAAAAUUAUUCUUUAUUAAUAGUAUAAUUAUUAGAAACUUUAUUAUGAAGCUAAAAUAAAAGUACUGAAAAGGAAAUUUGAAAAAUUUAAAAUUUAUUUUAAUAAAAGAAGAUAUAAAAAUUCUUACCUUUUGUAUUAUGGUUUAACAACAAAAUAAGAAAAAUUUUUCAAAACCCGAAACCAGGAGAUCUAAUGAAACCCCAACAUCUAUGGUUGUAUCUGUAUUACUGUUGCAAAAGUAAACAAAGAGAGCUCAUUAGCCAUGAAAAGUGAAACGAGCCUGGUGAUAGCUGGUUUCUCAAAAAAUGAAUUUAGUUCAAGCUUUUAAUUAUUAAUUUUAAUAUUUUUUAUAAUUUUAAAAAGCUAAACCAAAAGGGAUAAACUUUUUGGUUUAAGGAAAAAGCCUUUUUAAAUAGUUUAAAUCAAAAAUAAAAAGAAGAAAAAAAAUAUAGUAGGCCUAGAAGCAGCCAUCAAAAAGAAAGCGUUAAAGCAAAAUAUAUAAAAAAACAAUAAUUUAUGAAAAAAAAAUUUUAACUUUUAAUUAUUAAUGAGAUAAUAAUUAUAAAAUUAUAAAAUAAUGUUAAAAUUAGUACUUUAAUUUGAUUAAAAAAUUUUAAACUAAUCUAACAAAUAUAUGGAAGAAAGAAAAUAUUUUCAACAAGAAAAAAAUUUUCAUAACAGUCUAACCCAACACUGGAAAUCAAGAAAAAAAAAAAAAAAAAGAAGGAACUCGGCAAAAAUAGCUUCGCCUGUUUACCAAAAACAUCGCUCUUUGAAAAAUAUAAAUAAAGAGUACUGCCUGCCCAGUGAUAAAAAUUAAACGGCCGCGGUAUUUUGACCGUGCAAAGGUAGCAUAAUCAUUUGUUCUUUAAUUGAGGACUAGUAUGAAAGGCAAAACGAAAGCUUAACUGUCUCCUUUUUUAGAAAAGAAAUUAAUAUUUUUGUGAAGAAACAAAAAUAAUUAAGUAAGACGAGAAGACCCUGUCGAGCUUAAGAAAAUUUUUAUAAUAAACAUUAUUAGAUAAUUAAAUCAUAUUACUAUAUAAUUUAAAUAAAAAUAUCUUUGGUUGGGGCAACCACGAAGAAAAAAAAACCUUCGUUCAAAAAAAGAAAUUUACAAAUUUAAAAAUUAUUAGAAAUUCAUUAAAGAUCCAGAAAAUUCUGAUCAAAGAAAAAAGUUACCGCAGGGAUAACAGCGUUAUUCUCUUUAAGAGCCCUUAUUGACAAGAGAGUUUGCGACCUCGAUGUUGGAUCGGGGCACCCAAGAGGUGUAGCAGCCUCUAAAGGUAGGUCUGUUCGACCUUUAAAGCCCUACGUGAUCUGAGUUCAGACCGACGCAAGUCAGGUCAGUUUCUAUCUACUAAAAAAGAAGUUUUAUUAGUACGAAAGGAAUCUAAAACUAAAGCCAACUUUUCAAAAAGAGCUUUCAAAAAACUACUGAAAAAAAAUAAAGAAAAACUU